rnacentral:rRNA from 1 species
GGGUUGUGAGGUUAAGCGACUAAGCGUACACGGUGGAUGCCCUGGCAGUCAGAGGCGAUGAAGGACGUGCUAAUCUGCGAUAAGCGUCGGUAAGGUGAUAUGAACCGUUAUAACCGGCGAUUUCCGAAUGGGGAAACCCAGUGUGUUUCGACACACUAUCAUUAACUGAAUCCAUAGGUUAAUGAGGCGAACCGGGGGAACUGAAACAUCUAAGUACCCCGAGGAAAAGAAAUCAACCGAGAUUCCCCCAGUAGCGGCGAGCGAACGGGGAGGAGCCCAGAGUCUGAAUCAGUGUGUGUGUUAGUGGAAGCGUCUGGAAAGGCGCGCGAUACAGGGUGACAGCCCCGUACACAAAAAUGCACAUAUUGUGAGCUCGAUGAGUAGGGCGGGACACGUGGUAUCCUGUCUGAAUAUGGGGGGACCAUCCUCCAAGGCUAAAUACUCCUGACUGACCGAUAGUGAACCAGUACCGUGAGGGAAAGGCGAAAAGAACCCCGGCGAGGGGAGUGAAAAAGAACCUGAAACCGUGUACGUACAAGCAGUGGGAGCACGCUUAGGCGUGUGACUGCGUACCUUUUGUAUAAUGGGUCAGCGACUUAUAUUCUGUAGCAAGGUUAACCGAAUAGGGGAGCCGAAGGGAAACCGAGUCUUAACUGGGCGUUAAGUUGCAGGGUAUAGACCCGAAACCCGGUGAUCUAGCCAUGGGCAGGUUGAAGGUUGGGUAACACUAACUGGAGGACCGAACCGACUAAUGUUGAAAAAUUAGCGGAUGACUUGUGGCUGGGGGUGAAAGGCCAAUCAAACCGGGAGAUAGCUGGUUCUCCCCGAAAGCUAUUUAGGUAGCGCCUCGUGAACUCAUCUCCGGGGGUAGAGCACUGUUUCGGCAAGGGGGUCAUCCCGACUUACCAACCCGAUGCAAACUGCGAAUACCGGAGAAUGUUAUCACGGGAGACACACGGCGGGUGCUAACGUCCGUCGUGAAGAGGGAAACAACCCAGACCGCCAGCUAAGGUCCCAAAGUCAUGGUUAAGUGGGAAACGAUGUGGGAAGGCCCAGACAGCCAGGAUGUUGGCUUAGAAGCAGCCAUCAUUUAAAGAAAGCGUAAUAGCUCACUGGUCGAGUCGGCCUGCGCGGAAGAUGUAACGGGGCUAAACCAUGCACCGAAGCUGCGGCAGCGACGCUUAUGCGUUGUUGGGUAGGGGAGCGUUCUGUAAGCCUGCGAAGGUGUGCUGUGAGGCAUGCUGGAGGUAUCAGAAGUGCGAAUGCUGACAUAAGUAACGAUAAAGCGGGUGAAAAGCCCGCUCGCCGGAAGACCAAGGGUUCCUGUCCAACGUUAAUCGGGGCAGGGUGAGUCGACCCCUAAGGCGAGGCCGAAAGGCGUAGUCGAUGGGAAACAGGUUAAUAUUCCUGUACUUGGUGUUACUGCGAAGGGGGGACGGAGAAGGCUAUGUUGGCCGGGCGACGGUUGUCCCGGUUUAAGCGUGUAGGCUGGUUUUCCAGGCAAAUCCGGAAAAUCAAGGCUGAGGCGUGAUGACGAGGCACUACGGUGCUGAAGCAACAAAUGCCCUGCUUCCAGGAAAAGCCUCUAAGCAUCAGGUAACAUCAAAUCGUACCCCAAACCGACACAGGUGGUCAGGUAGAGAAUACCAAGGCGCUUGAGAGAACUCGGGUGAAGGAACUAGGCAAAAUGGUGCCGUAACUUCGGGAGAAGGCACGCUGAUAUGUAGGUGAAGCGACUUGCUCGUGGAGCUGAAAUCAGUCGAAGAUACCAGCUGGCUGCAACUGUUUAUUAAAAACACAGCACUGUGCAAACACGAAAGUGGACGUAUACGGUGUGACGCCUGCCCGGUGCCGGAAGGUUAAUUGAUGGGGUCAGCGCAAGCGAAGCUCUUGAUCGAAGCCCCGGUAAACGGCGGCCGUAACUAUAACGGUCCUAAGGUAGCGAAAUUCCUUGUCGGGUAAGUUCCGACCUGCACGAAUGGCGUAAUGAUGGCCAGGCUGUCUCCACCCGAGACUCAGUGAAAUUGAACUCGCUGUGAAGAUGCAGUGUACCCGCGGCAAGACGGAAAGACCCCGUGAACCUUUACUAUAGCUUGACACUGAACAUUGAGCCUUGAUGUGUAGGAUAGGUGGGAGGCUUUGAAGUGUGGACGCCAGUCUGCAUGGAGCCGACCUUGAAAUACCACCCUUUAAUGUUUGAUGUUCUAACGUUGGCCCCUAAUCGGGGUUGCGGACAGUGUCUGGUGGGUAGUUUGACUGGGGCGGUCUCCUCCUAAAGAGUAACGGAGGAGCACGAAGGUUGGCUAAUCCUGGUCGGACAUCAGGAGGUUAGUGCAAUGGCAUAAGCCAGCUUGACUGCGAGCGUGACGGCGCGAGCAGGUGCGAAAGCAGGUCAUAGUGAUCCGGUGGUUCUGAAUGGAAGGGCCAUCGCUCAACGGAUAAAAGGUACUCCGGGGAUAACAGGCUGAUACCGCCCAAGAGUUCAUAUCGACGGCGGUGUUUGGCACCUCGAUGUCGGCUCAUCACAUCCUGGGGCUGAAGUAGGUCCCAAGGGUAUGGCUGUUCGCCAUUUAAAGUGGUACGCGAGCUGGGUUUAGAACGUCGUGAGACAGUUCGGUCCCUAUCUGCCGUGGGCGCUGGAGAACUGAGGGGGGCUGCUCCUAGUACGAGAGGACCGGAGUGGACGCAUCACUGGUGUUCGGGUUGUCAUGCCAAUGGCACUGCCCGGUAGCUAAAUGCGGAAGAGAUAAGUGCUGAAAGCAUCUAAGCACGAAACUUGCCCCGAGAUGAGUUCUCCCUGACUCCUUGAGAGUCCUGAAGGAACGUUGAAGACGACGACGUUGAUAGGCCGGGUGUGUAAGCGCAGCGAUGCGUUGAGCUAACCGGUACUAAUGAACCGUGAGGCUUAACCUUACAACGCCGAAG